UACAGAGGGGGCAAGCGUUGUUCGGAAUUAUUGGGCGUAAAGAGCUCGUAGGCGGUUUGUCGCGUCUGCUGUGAAAAUCCAGGGCUUAACCCUGGACCUGCAGUGGGUACGGGCAGACUAGAGUGCGGUAGGGGAGAUCGGAAUUCCUGGUGUAGCGGUGAAAUGCGCAGAUAUCAGGAGGAACACCGGUGGCGAAGGCGGAUCUCUGGGCCGUAACUGACGCUGAGGAGCGAAAGCAUGGGGAGCGAACAGG
rnacentral:rRNA from 1 species